rnacentral:rRNA from 1 species
UACGUAGGCAGCGAGCGUUGUUCGGAGUUACUGGGCGUAAAGCGUGCGUAGGCGGUUUUGUAAGUUUGGUGUGAAAUCUCCCGGCUCAACUGGGAGGGUGCGCCGAAAACUGCAAGGCUGGAGUGUGGGAGAGGUAGGCGGAAUUCCUGGUGUAGCGGUGAAAUGCGUAGAUAUCAGGAGGAACACCUGUGGUGUAGACGGCUUACUGGACCAUGACUGACGCUGAGGAACGAAAGCGUGGGGAGCAAACGGG